GAGUUUGAUCCUGGCUCAGGACGAACGCUGGCGGCGUGCCUAACACAUGCAAGUCAACUUGACGGAAGGAGCAAUCUGACCGUAGAGUGGCGCAAGGGUGCGUAACGCGUAAGUAACUUGCCCCAAGGUAAGGAAUAACGUCGAGAAAUCGGCGCUAAUACCUCAUAAUGCAGCGGAUCCGCAUGGAUAUGUUGUUAAAGGUUUACCGCCUUGGGAUAGGCUUGCGUCUGAUUAGCUAGUUGGUGUGGUAACGGCACACCAAGGCUACGAUCAGUAACUGGUCUGAGAGGAUGAUCAGUCACACUGGAACUGAGACACGGUCCAGACUCCUACGGGAGGCAGCAGUGAGGAAUAUUGGGCAAUGCUCGAAAGAGUGACCCAGCAACGCCGCGUGGAGGAUGAAGGUAUUCUAUAUCGUAAACUCCUGUGAGAGCAGACGAAAGACAGAUUAUUAAUCUGGAUGACUGUAUGCUCAGAGGAAGCCCCGGCUAACUACGUGCCAGCAGCCGCGGUAAUACGUAGGGGGCAAGCGUUGUCCGGAUUCACUGGGUGUAAAGGGCGCGUAGGCGGGAUAGCAAGUCAGUGGUGAAAUCUUGCAGCUCAACUGCAAAACUGCCAUUGAUACUGCUGUUCUUGAAUGUGGAAGAGAGAGGCGGAAUUCCAGGUGUAGUAGUGAAAUACGUAGAUAUCUGGAAGAACACCAAUUGCGAAGGCUGCUUCUUGGUCCAUUAUUGACGCUGAGGCGCGAAAGCGUGGGGAGCAAACAGGAUUAGAUACCCUGGUAGUCCACGCUGUAAACGAUGAGUGCUAGAUGCCGGAUUUUUUCGGUGUCGCAGCUAACGCAUUAAGCACUCCACCUGGGAAGUACGAUCGCAAGGUUGAAACUCAAAGGAAUUGACGGGGGCCCGCACAAGCAGUGGAGCAUGUGGGUUUAAUUCGAUGCAACGCGAAGAACCUUUACCUAGGCUUGAAAAGCUUAUGACCGGCUGUGAAAGCAGCUUUCCCGGCAAGGGCAUAAGUACAGGUGCUGCAUGGCUGUCGUCAGGUUCGUGCCGUGAGGUGUUGGGGUUAAGUCCGCAACGAGCGCAACCGUUACCAUUAGUUGCCACCGGGAGCAUUCGAGCACUCUAUGGAAACUGCCUACGCCAGGUAGUGAGGGAGGGUGAGGAUGACGGUCAGUCGCAUGGCCUUACGCCCUUAGGCUACACACGUGGCUUCAAUGG
rnacentral:rRNA from 1 species